CCUACGGGUGGCAGCAGUGGGGAAUAUUGCACAAUGGGGGAAACCCUGAUGCAGCGACGCCACGUGGGUGAAGGAGUAAUUCGGUACGUAAAGCGCUAUCAGCGGGGAAGAAAAAGAAGGGAACCGAACCAGAAAGCCCGGCCAAAUAAGGGCCAGCAGCCGCGGGAAUACGGAGGGGGCCGGGGUUAUCCGGGAUUACUGGGUGGAAAGGGAGCGUAGACGGGGCGGGAAGGCUGGAGUGAAAAGCCGCAGCUUAACGGCGGGACUGCUUUGGAAACUGGCGAACUUGAGUGCGGGAGGGGUAAGCGGAAUGCCUAGUGUAGCGGUGAAAUGCGUAGAUAUUAGGAGGAACACCGGUGGCGAAGGCGGCUUACUGGACCGUAACUGACGUUGAGGCUCGAAAGCGUGGGGAGCAAACAGGAUUAGAUACCCGGGUAGUC
rnacentral:rRNA from 1 species